AUGACAGUUUAUUUCUACUGAGGUAUAUGAUUACCUUCCAGUGAUCUGAACCAGACCUGUUGAGGGUCUGACUUUCCAUCCAGAGGAUAUAAACCCCCAUGGACUGUAUCUUUCUUGAGAAAAGGUGAUUAGACCUGAACACCUGGUGACAGUCAAAAACAUCACACCUGUUCUAUAGUGGGUGCAGAAUUCAGAUUACAAUAUCCAGGCCCUAAAAACGGAGAGAAAACAUCUGAGACAGUUUUCUUCAACAAGAAAACUUAAUGGUCCAUGAGAAAUCAUUAAGACUACUGGAUGAAGGAACAAGAAAGAUCUGCUCUCAAGAGGCCCCCCCAUUGUGUAAAGGCUACACCUUUCCCCUAAACAUGGACUUGACUUGUGCAGCAUCAGCAUAGGCAAUAUUUCUUAUGCCAUGCACCCAUUUGUCAAAUAGCUACUCCAGAGUGGUAUGCAAAGGAACCCAUCCAUGGGAACAAUUAAAAUAUCAUUUUUCCUAAACAGUGGAAGUGCUCACUGGAACUACAUUUUAUUUGUGUUCUUAUUAGAACUGGAGGAAUGCUUUAAAAAAACUUUCUGUUAAAGAACAGAAACUUUGAAAUAAUUUUAGCUUUAUUUCACCAUAAACGUUUGGGGAAAUUAAAAAAUGGCAAGCAAAUAGAAAAUUUCCAUGAGAAACAUACUUGCAAUCAUAUAUACAAAGACCUUUUCAGAAACCAUAGAAAAACGGAAUGGUUGUUCUCAUCUAGUUAGAUCAUAAGUUUUUGUUUUAUUUCCUAUGUUUCAUGGAAGCUCUGUUUUAAAGAAAAAAAAGUGCAAUUUCACAUUUCCAGUUCUUGAUAUGCUACUAAGAAAUAGUCUUAUGAACAAGAGCUAGAAAGCAAUAAUGCUUCUAAAAUCUAAGCACUAUUCUUUUAAAACAAGUUACUGUGAUUUAUUAUUAUUAUUUUACUGGCAUAGUAAUUUUCUCUUUUUGGAGCCAAAUUAUCUUAGAGUGAAAGCUAAAUUAUUUAUACAGAAUGACUGCACGUGCCAUAUUUUUAUCUUAUAUGGAACUGUGUAAAUCUAACAAUUUCAGUGUUGUCAGCUGAGAUACUUGUAUGCCAGCUUGGUACUAUUCAUUUAUAAAUUAUUUGCAGUGUAAAAGGUAUUAUUAAGGAUAGCAUAUGAAUGCCUCAAUUUAUUGGUAUUAAAUAAGAGGUAUAAGGCUUUUCUAGUCUAUGAUAUUCAAUUUACUUUGAGUUCCUGUUAGAUUUUCAUAUGGUUUAAACAGGGUCUAAUAUAAAUGAGAAUACAGCCCUACUUUAUGUUGUCACGUUGAAGUAUGAUAAACUCUGUAUAAUAAAAGUAAUUAACAUCAGUAUUAGGAAUAUUAACAAAGUAAAUGUUCUGAGAGUCAUAAAUAUGGGAACACACACACAAAUGCAUAAAAAUGUCUAAUUAUAUCCUGGAUGGAGGAAGAGGAACAGUGACUGUAAGAAAGAGGAAAUAGCUAAUUCAGUAGCAGUCACUUAACCCUCAUAUCAUCUUAUAAAUGUGUGUAAAAAAAUAUGUUAGCCUCCCAAACAGUUAAUAGAAUUAAAAGCUGUAUUCAUGGGUAAAUGCUACAAAAAAAGUUUUAUUUGGUAUGAAAAUAUAUGACUUCUGUAUAAAAGCUUCGCCUAAAACUGCAUUUUAUGUAGACAGAGAUCAAAGUGAUUGCACAGUCACGUCUCAGAUUUCUUAAAUAGUUUCCUUUGAAGCAGAGCAAAGUCAGGAAUCUUAAGCCACUCUAAGUUAGUACUUUGACAGGUUAGGUUUAGGAAUUAAGCUCAUGCAUGGAAGUCACAGCUUCCCAUGGUACAGUGGUGUUGUUCUGUAGCGUGUACUUUCUUUUUCUUCAUGUAAUGUAUUCUGGUGGUGACUCAGCAAUAUGUGGAUUUAAAAAAAAAAAAAGUGCAUUAGUCAUGUUCCUGAGCACUGGUAAUUAUUCAAGUGAGGCUAAUGUGUGUAUAAACCCAAAUUCUCAAAAUUUGAAUAGCAAUUACAGUUCUUAGUCCACCUUCAGCUCAGUGAAAGCACAUCUUUGCCCUUUCAGUUCAAUUCUAGUUCUCUGAAUUUAGAAACCCGGGGGAAUCCCGAGCUGCUUCAUCUAACUCCAUUUAUGUUCAACAAAAACCUCUGGCUCGGCAGUGUGACU